UUUGAAGAUUUGAAGGACCAGAAUCUUACAAUUUGACCACUUUUCGUUGCAUGGAAUUAUGGUCAAGAUUAAGCACUGUUCAAAGACUCUGUCCUUAAAGAAAAAGAAGAAGAAGAGAGAAAUGGAAACCAGAAACUGGCUAUGAUUCCAGGACUUCAGCCAAUAUCUAGCCCAAUUCCAGAAGGUGGAAUAGCAUGUCUUUUGUUUACUGAGUUUUAGAAAGCUGGUUUUAAGCUGGACAAAAGAUCUCUUACAGCUGUUCUAUGUCAAGAAAUAUAUUUUCAAAAACCAACCAAUUGGCAAUUCUGUAAGAAUAAACCUCUUUUCAUUGACAAUUGCAAACUUUUUUUCUCUUCAGAGAAUGGGUGGGUGGGUAAAUUAGUUUGCUUUUUUUAUGUAAGUUUA